rnacentral:rRNA from 1 species
GUACGAAGGGGGCUAGCGUUGCUCGGAAUCACUGGGCGUAAAGGGUGCGUAGGCGGGUCUUUAAGUCAGGGGUGAAAUCCUGGAGCUCAACUCCAGAACUGCCUUUGAUACUGAGGAUCUUGAGUUCGGGAGAGGUGAGUGGAACUGCGAGUGUAGAGGUGAAAUGCGUAGAUAUCGUAAGGAAGACCAGUGGCGAAGGCGGGUCACUGGACAGUUCCUGACGUGAGGCACGAAGGUCAGGGGAGCAAACGGG